rnacentral:rRNA from 2 species
UCCAGGAAGGUGCGGCUGGAUCACCUCCUUUCUAAGG